rfam:Fistulina hepatica ATCC 64428 unplaced genomic scaffold FISHEscaffold_115, whole genome shotgun sequence.
GGGCGCGUGGUACAGUGGUAGCACGCUUCCUUAGCAUUGACUAACAGUCACCUCACUUUGUGGAAGAGGUCCUGGGUUCAAUUCCCAGCGCGUCCA